rnacentral:lncRNA from 1 species
UUCUUAAAAACUCAGUGCCGGCAUGUUGGAAUAUUCCGGAUUUCUCCCGGAGUGGGAAAAAUGGAAGAUCUUUUAAAUCGGGAAUGAGAAUUGGAUCGAAGGUAGUGGUCCAUAUGAAGCCAGUGGAGUAUUCCUUAAAUUUCUUGGAGCAUUUGGGGGACCAUUGAUUAGUUUGAUUUGGAAUUCUGCUAUCCAUCGUUGCCAACUUGACGACGAAAUGUCCCCUUUGGGUGAUUCGAAUCUUAUCUUUAUACUUUUGUUGCUUUUUCCGAUCGAAGUGAUUUCAUUUCUUAGAUAUUCGAUGAGUUGUCUUCACUAUGUAUCCGAAAAAAGUGCAUAUAAUAAAAUGAAUUGCUAUAAUUUGGCGUCAGUUGUACUUCCUACUGUAAUUGAAUCAAAAGCGAAGUUAACAAAUUCAUUUCGAGAGACU